rnacentral:lncRNA from 1 species
GUUUAUUAUGGAAAUAUAUAUGAUUUAUAUGUAAACCUAGAAUCCAUAUAGAGUCAUUUUGAUGUGAUUUGUUUCAUUCAUGUAUUCCUUGCCUAGAAAUAUGCUGGGAGCACUCGUUGCAUGUGUCAUGUUCAUUAACGUUCACUCCCCUCCCUUGUCGGCCUCAGGCGUCACAUACCUACCAACUUCAAUUAGGUUCGUCUCCAAACCACAUUACACUAAAAAAGGUCUGCUCUACAACCAUUUGUGACACCCUAAACUGCUUUUAGGAUUAUCUACCGACCAUAGAAAUCAACACGAGUCUUUUCAGCGUCCUUUGUCCUCACCUGCACGCCUUCUACGAUAUUUCCUAUGAAGUGUGAUAGAGGAAAAAACACAUUGAAAAGACUCGUGUUGGUUUUGGGGGUAAGUCGGUAAUCCUAAAAGCAAUCUAGGCUGUUAUAAAUGGUAUCAGAGGAUACGUUUAUCAGUGCCACAAGGUUUGGGGACGAACUAAACAUAAUUUGGUGGGCAUGUGAACUUUGAGGUUGAUGAGAGAUGGGAGUGGUCGUCAAUAAAUAUGGAAUGUAAUAUGAGCGGCUCCUGCAAUGCUUUUAGAUAGGGGAUACAUGAAUGAAUCUAAUCACAUUGGAAUGACAAGGAUUCUGAGACCGUGUAGAUAUAAGAUUUCUUUUAGGAUUGAUUUGUAUUACAUAUAACAAUAUGAUGCAUAUUUUUUUUUUCUUCCAGUAGCUCAAACCAUAAGAACUCUAUAGUUAAUAUAAAGUCACGGAUUUUGAUCCAAGACAUUAAG